AAAUAGGAAGAAAGCCAAAUAGAAGAAUCUUUCUUUCUUUCCUUUGAUCUAUCUGUCUAUCUAUCUGUGAAAGAGACCUGGAAAUAUGCACAUCAGAAGUGUGUAGUAGACAAAUUAUCCAAUGGCUUCGUGAUUCCCGCCCCCUGGUGUCCACCCUCUGUACAAUUUCCACCUCUCGAGUGUGGGCAGGACUGUGACAAUGACAGAGCUCAGUCAGGUGGCUAGGUUAUGUGGCACACGUAAAGGGAUUUUGAUGAUGUAAUUAAGAUCCCUAAUCAGUUUGACUUUGAGUUAAUUAAAUGGGAGAAUCUCCUGGUGGGGGGCGUGGCCUACUCAGGUAAGCCUCUGAACAGAUGACUUAGACCUUCUCUGAUGAGAAUCUACUGCUGGCCUUAAUGAAGAAAGAAGCCUGGGUAAGUUCCACAGCUGCAAGGAAAUGGAUUCUGCUGCAUGAGCACAGGAGAGAACCCUGAACCUCAGAUGAAGAUGCAGCUCUGGGCAGCACCUUGAUUGUGCCUUGUGAGGCCCUGAGCAAAGGACCCGUUAAGCUGUGCCCGGACUCCUGCCCCAUGGCACCUGUGCGCUGGGAAAGAUCUCAGGCCAAGAGGGGUCCUACCGGCAGCCUCUGGGGCAGCUGAAUGCACCCAAAGCCUCCAACAUCUUUCUACACACCUGGGUUGUGUGGCGACCCUGUCCUGGUCCUCCCACCUGCCUGCAGGCAGGAUGAGUCAUGGCUGAACAGAGGCCCGGAAGCCAGGGAGGCAGAGCACCGCCUCCCACCCAGCUGCCUCCUGCACUUGACUUCCAGGGGCCAGGGUAUUCAGACAGGAGAGACCAGCUGAGCCUUUCUGUCAAUCAUCUCUUCUUGGUUGAGGUGGGGAAGGGGGAUGACGAGGGGAGGGGGAUGAUGAGGAGAGGGAGCGGGGGUGGGGACGGGGCAGCUCCCUGAUGCUGAUGGGUGCACAGCAAAUAAUGAAAUGUAAAUUUUCAAUGGAGUACAGAACUGAAUCUUAAUGAAAGGUAUUAUUAAAUUCAGCAAAACACAAAGAAAUUUUAACUGAGCAGAACUGAUUAGUCCAUAAAAAGGAAUAGAUUGCAGCUUGCAUCAUUUGCCGUCUAGACAAAUCACUAAGAUACACAUGCACCAGUUUUAAUUAGUGCCAUAAAAAUCUAGCAUUCUGUAGCCCAAAAUGGUAUUGUUCAACAAAUAAAAAAAUUUUUAAUAAAAAAAUGCAGCUCAAACAACUACUUCCCAUAAUGCCUAAAUAAACUGUCUUUCCCCCUCUUUAUUGAAAUGAGAGACCCACAAGGUAAAAUUGCUGCUGCUUCUGUGUCUAAUAGAAGGUUUUGUGCUCUACGUCCCUUCCCCCAUGGCAUCAUGAAAUGUACAAUUCUCAUAGAAGGUCUAUGCCGGACUGAAUACAUCACAGCAAGAAGCUUUCCAUUUUUAGCCAAAAAGUCCAGACUUUUUUUUUUUUUUUUGCUGGUUUAACCCUUCAGGAAAUUCUAAAUGGAUCCAGGCUGCUGGCUCAAGUUUCUAUGCCACAGUGACCUUCAGUGAGAAGGCAGCAUGUUGAUUUCUGUUUGUUGGUUUGUUUCCUAAUCCGUGGGAUCCCAGCCUCACCUUUCC
rnacentral:lncRNA from 1 species